rfam:Halioglobus sp. HI00S01 HI00S01_c6, whole genome shotgun sequence.
GCGCCUGUAGCUCAGCUGGAUAGAGUACCUGGCUACGAACCAGGCGGUCGCACGUUCGAAUCGUGCCAGGCGCG